CUGCCCUUUGUACACACCGCCCGUCGCUACUACCGAUUGAAUGGCUCAGUGAGGCGUCCGGACUGGCCCAGAGAGGUGGGCAACUACCACUCAGGGCCGGAAAGCUCUCCAAACUCGGUCAUUUAGAGGAAGUAAAAGUCGUAACAAGGUCUCCGUUGGUGAACCAGCGGAGGGAUCAUUACCGAGUUUACAACUCCCAAACCCCUGUGAACAUACCACUUGUUGCCUCGGCGGAUCAGCCCGCUCCCGGUAAAACGGGACGGCCCGCCAGAGGACCCCUAAACUCUGUUUCUAUAUGUAACUUCUGAGUAAAACCAUAAAUAAAUCAAAACUUUCAACAACGGAUCUCUUGGUUCUGGCAUCGAUGAAGAACGCAGCAAAAUGCGAUAAGUAAUGUGAAUUGCAGAAUUCAGUGAAUCAUCGAAUCUUUGAACGCACAUUGCGCCCGCCAGUAUUCUGGCGGGCAUGCCNGUUCGAGCGUCAUUUCAACCCUCAAGCACAGCUUGGUGUUGGGACUCGCGUUAAUUCGCGUUCCUCAAAUUGAUUGGCGGUCACGUCGAGCUUCCAUAGCGUAGUAGUAAAACCCUCGUUACUGGUAAUCGUCGCGGCCACGCCGUUAAACCCCAACUUCUGAAUGUUGACCUCGGAUCAGGUAGGAAUACCCGCUGAACUUAAG
rnacentral:rRNA from 1 species